CCACGGGUGGCUGCAGUGAGGAAUAUUGGUCAAUGGACGAGAGUCUGAACCAGCCAAGUAGCGUGAAGGAUGACUGCCCUAUGGGUUGUAAACUUCUUUUGUCGGGGAGCAAAAGACGCCACGCGUGGCGUUCCGAGAGUACCCGAAGAAAAAGCAUCGGCUAACUCCGUGCCAGCAGCCGCGGUAAUACGGAGGAUGCGAGCGUUAUCCGGAUUUAUUGGGUUUAAAGGGUGCGCAGGCGGGAGAUCAAGUCAGCGGUAAAAUGUCGGGGCUCAACCCCGGCCGGCCGUUGAAACUGGUUUUCUAGAGUUGGAGAGAAGUAUGCGGAAUUCGUGGUGUAGCGGUGAAAUGCAUAGAUAUCACGAAGAACUCCGAUUGCGAAGGCAGCAUACCGGCUCCAUACUGACGCUGAGGCACGAAAGCGUGGGGAUCGAACAGGAUUAGAUACCCAAGUAGUC
rnacentral:rRNA from 1 species